rnacentral:rRNA from 1 species
UACGUAGGGUGCGAGCGUUGCCCGGAUUUAUUGGGCGUAACGGGCGCGUAGGCGGCCACGCACGUCCGUUGUGAAAUCGCCCGGCUCAACUGGGCGGGGUCAGCGGAUACGGUGUGGCUCGAGCAAGCUAGGGGGCAAUGGAAUUCCCGGUGUAGUGGUGGAAUGCGUAGAUAUCGGGAGGAACACCAGUGGCGAAGGCGGUUGCCUGGAGCUUUGCUGACGCUGAUGCGCGAAAGCGUGGGGAGCGAUCCGG